rnacentral:rRNA from 1 species
UACAGAGGGGGCAAGCGUUGUUCGGAAUUACUGGGCGUAAAGGGCGCGUAGGUGGCUUGUUAAGUCAGGGGUGAAAGUUUUCGGCCCAACCGGAAAAUGGCCUUUGAUACUGGGGAUCUCGAGUCCGGAAGAGGUGAGUGGAACUCCGAGUGUAGAGGUGAAAUUCGUAGAUAUUCGGAAGAACGCCAGUGGCGAAGGCGGCUCACUGGCCCGGUACUGACGCUGAGGUGCGAAAGCGUGGGGAGCAAACAGG